rnacentral:rRNA from 1 species
UACGAAGGGUGCAAGCGUUACUCGGAAUUACUGGGCGUAAAGCGUGCGUAGGUGGUUUUUUAAGUCCGUUGUGAAAGCCCUGGGCUCAACCUGGGAAUGGCAGUGGAUACUGGAAAGCUAGAGUGCGGUAGAGGGUAGUGGAAUUCCCGGUGUAGCAGUGAAAUGCGUAGAGAUCGGGAGGAACACCAGUGGCGAAGGCGGCUACCUGGACCAGCACUGACGCUGAGGCACGAAAGCGUGGGGAGCAAACAGG